rnacentral:rRNA from 1 species
AGAGUUUGAUCAUGGCUCAGAUUGAACGCUGGCGGCAGGCCUAACACAUGCAAGUCGAGCGGUAGCACAGAGAGCUUGCUCUCGGGUGACGAGCGGCGGACGGGUGAGUAAUGUCUGGGAAACUGCCUGAUGGAGGGGGAUAACUACUGGAAACGGUAGCUAAUACCGCAUAAUGUCGCAAGACCAAAGUGGGGGACCUUCGGGCCUCAUGCCAUCAGAUGUGCCCAGAUGGGAUUAGCUAGUAGGUGGGGUAACGGCUCACCUAGGCGACGAUCCCUAGCUGGUCUGAGAGGAUGACCAGCCACACUGGAACUGAGACACGGUCCAGACUCCUACGGGAGGCAGCAGUGGGGAAUAUUGCACAAUGGGCGCAAGCCUGAUGCAGCCAUGCCGCGUGUGUGAAGAAGGCCUUCGGGUUGUAAAGCACUUUCAGCGGGGAGGAAGGCGUUAAGGUUAAUAACCUUGUCGAUUGACGUUACCCGCAGAAGAAGCACCGGCUAACUCCGUGCCAGCAGCCGCGGUAAUACGGAGGGUGCAAGCGUUAAUCGGAAUUACUGGGCGUAAAGCGCACGCAGGCGGUCUGUCAAGUCGGAUGUGAAAUCCCCGGGCUCAACCUGGGAACUGCAUUCGAAACUGGCAGGCUAGAGUCUUGUAGAGGGGGGUAGAAUUCCAGGUGUAGCGGUGAAAUGCGUAGAGAUCUGGAGGAAUACCGGUGGCGAAGGCGGCCCCCUGGACAAAGACUGACGCUCAGGUGCGAAAGCGUGGGGAGCAAACAGGAUUAGAUACCCUGGUAGUCCACGCCGUAAACGAUGUCGAUUUGGAGGUUGUGCCCUUGAGGCGUGGCUUCCGGAGCUAACGCGUUAAAUCGACCGCCUGGGGAGUACGGCCGCAAGGUUAAAACUCAAAUGAAUUGACGGGGGCCCGCACAAGCGGUGGAGCAUGUGGUUUAAUUCGAUGCAACGCGAAGAACCUUACCUGGUCUUGACAUCCACAGAACUUUCCAGAGAUGGAUUGGUGCCUUCGGGAACUGUGAGACAGGUGCUGCAUGGCUGUCGUCAGCUCGUGUUGUGAAAUGUUGGGUUAAGUCCCGCAACGAGCGCAACCCUUAUCCUUUGUUGCCAGCGGUUAGGCCGGGAACUCAAAGGAGACUGCCAGUGAUAAACUGGAGGAAGGUGGGGAUGACGUCAAGUCAUCAUGGCCCUUACGACCAGGGCUACACACGUGCUACAAUGGCAUAUACAAAGAGAAGCGACCUCGCGAGAGCAAGCGGACCUCAUAAAGUAUGUCGUAGUCCGGAUUGGAGUCUGCAACUCGACUCCAUGAAGUCGGAAUCGCUAGUAAUCGUAGAUCAGAAUGCUACGGUGAAUACGUUCCCGGGCCUUGUACACACCGCCCGUCACACCAUGGGAGUGGGUUGCAAAAGAAGUAGGUAGCUUAACCUUCGGGAGGGCGCUUACCACUUUGUGAUUCAUGACUGGGGUGAAGUCGUAACAAGGUAACCGUAGGGGAACCUGCGGUUG